UUGCUUUGGCAGCACAUAUACAAAAUUGGAAUGACACAGAGAAGAUGAGCAUGGCCCCUGUGUAAGGAUGACAAUGCAAAUUCAUGAAGUGUUCCAUAUUUUU